UGGGGAAUAUUGCACAAUUGGGGAAACCCUGAUGCAGCGACGCCGCGUGAGUGAAGAAGUAAUUCGUUACGUAAAGCUCUAUCAGCAGGGAAGAGAAUGACGGUACCUGAGUAAGAAGCCCCGGCUAACUACGUGCC
rnacentral:rRNA from 1 species